GGUGGUCUGAGGCUCUUCAUGGCGUCUCUAAUGUGGGUCCAGGUGUCAAGUUUGGUGGGGCCUUCCCUGGGGCCACUAGCUUCCCUCAAGUCAUCACCACCGCUGCUUCCUUCAACGAGUCUCUUUGGGAGCAAAUCGGACGGGUAGUGUCUGAUGAAGCAAGAGCAAUGUACAAUGGAGGACUGGCCGGAUUGACAUAUUGGAGUCCUAACGUAAAUAUAUUUCGCGAUCCUCGAUGGGGAAGAGGGCAAGAAACUCCCGGCGAAGACCCUAUUUUAGCCGGAAAAUACGCUGCUAGCUAUGUCAAGGGACUUCAGAGCAUGACAGGCAUCAGAUUAAAGGUUGCUGCAUGUUGCAAGCAUUACACAGCCUACGAUCUUGAUAAUUGGAAUGGUGUGGAUAGAUACCAUUUCAAUGCUAUGGUAAGCAAGCAAGACUUGGAGGACACAUAUGAUGUGCCAUUCAAGGCUUGUGUGAUGGAAGGAAAAGUUGCUAGUGUGAUGUGCUCUUACAAUCAAGUAAAUGGAAAACCCACUUGUGCUGAUCCUAUUCUCCUCAAGAACACCAUCAGGGGUGAAUGGCGACUUAACGGAUAUAUUGUUUCAGACUGUGACUCAGUUGGGGUUUUAUAUGAUAACCAGCACUACACUUCAACACCCGAAGAAGCAGCUGCAGCCACCAUUAAAGCAGGUCUUGAUUUAGACUGUGGUCCAUUCUUGGCGAUCCACACACAGAAUGCAAUAAACAAAGGGCUACUACGGCAGCAGGACGUAAAUCUAGCCCUAGCUAAUACCAUCACUGUCCAGAUGAGACUAGGCAUGUUUGAUGGAGAACCAUCUGCCCAUCCUUAUGGUAACUUGGGCCCAAGGGAUGUUUGCACUCCAGCCCAUCAGCAAUUGGCUCUAGAAGCAGCCCGACAAGGCAUAGUCCUGCUAGAGAAUCGUGGGCGGGCCCUCCCAUUGUCCCGAACACGUCACCGUACUGUAGCAGUCAUUGGGCCCAAUUCUGAUGUUACCGUUGCCAUGAUAGGGAAUUAUGCUGGUAUUGCAUGUAGUUACACAACUCCCUUGCAAGGAAUCAGCAGAUAUGCUAAGACCAUUCAUCAAUCUGGGUGUGGGGAUGUGGCCUGCAAUGGAAACCAACAAUUUGGGGCAGCUGUGGCAGCAGCCCGCCAGGCUGAUGCUACUAUUCUUGUAAUGGGUCUUGAUCAGUCAAUAGAAGCAGAAUUCAGGGAUAGGGUAGGGCUCCUUUUGCCUGGACAUCAACAAGAACUUGUAUCCAGAGUGGCUAGAGCCUCCAAGGGUCCUACUAUAUUGGUGUUGAUGAGUGGCGGUCCUAUUGAUGUCUCAUUCGCUAAGAAUGAUCCUCGAGUUGGUGCUAUGUUGUGGGUUGGAUAUCCUGGACAAGCCGGAGGUGCUGCCAUUGCUGAUGUUUUGUUUGGAACAACCAAUCCAGGAGGGAAGCUGCCAAUGACAUGGUAUCCACAGAGCUAUCUUGCCAAGGUGCCAAUGAUAAAUAUGGGAAUGAGACCAGACCCAUCAAGAGGCUAUCCUGGUAGAACCUAUAGAUUCUACAAGGGCCCUGUUGUUUUCCCUUUUGGCCAUGGAUUGAGCUACACCUCCUUUUCUCACUCUCUAUUCCAAGCUCCAAAGCAGCUCUCGCUCCCCCUUACCAGUCUCCAUACCUUAAAAAACACUACCAUUUCAAGCAAAGCAAUAAGGGUCUCACAUACUAAUUGUGAUGCUCUCUCUCUAGGACUUCAUAUUGAUGUAAAGAACACAGGAACCAUGGAUGGAACUCACACCAUUCUGGUGUUCUCUAGCCCCCCAGCAGGAAAAUGGUCCUCUAACAAGCAAUUAAUUGGUUUUGAAAGGGUUCAUUUAAUAGCUGGUUCUCAGAAACAAGUCAUGAUUAACAUUCAUGUGUGCAAGCACCUGAGUGUGGUCGACCAAUUCGGAAUUCGAAGAAUUCCCGUUGGUGAACAUGAUCUUCACAUUGGAGAUCUCAAGCAUUCUAUUUCUCUCCAAGCAAAUUUGGAAGAGAUCAAAUAUUAGUAACUAGUAGGACAUGAAAUUAAUCAUCAACUGUAAGAUAAACAUAAGGCAAAAGAUCAACUAGUGUUUAAUUAGUGUUUCAGCAUUUUGUGAUACAAUAGAUAUUGAAUCCCAAUUGAUCC
rnacentral:misc_RNA from 1 species